rnacentral:rRNA from 1 species
UACGUAGGGUGCGAGCGUUGUCCGGAAUUAUUGGGCGUAAAGAGCUCGUAGGCGGUUUGUCACGUCUGCUGUGAAAUCCCGAGGCUCAACCUCGGGCCUGCAGUGGGUACGGGCAGACUGGAGUGCGGUAGGGGAGAAUGGAAUUCCUGGUGUAGCGGUGGAAUACGCAGAUAUCAGGAGGAACACCGAUGGCGAAGGCAGUUCUCUGGGCCGUAACUGACGCUGAGGAGCGAAAGCGUGGGGAGCGAACAGG